CAGGUCCCUCUCACCCCCUGCGCCGCCGUCGCACCGUGCCCUCCCCCAUUGCGGGCUCUGUCAUUCUCAAACCCAGGUCGACCCACUCUUCCCGCCCACUGGCCCGCCGCAGCUCCCUCCAUUGGCUCGCGGCACCUGUCCGUUUCCUGGGAGAGUUCAGCACCUCCCGGCAGGAAGAGGCUCCGGCCUCAUUGGGUGCGUGAGAAGGGAAGGGUGGAUCCUAAAAGGUAAUACUGAGCCUUCAUUCAAACUAAAAGGCUGGAAGGGAGGCAGCUGCCUUUGUUUGCCAUGGAUGGGUAGGGGCUGCACUGAGCAGCACCGGUGUUCUUCAUCCGGCUGCACCCCCAACAGAGCUCUUUCUUCCCCAGAUCCCUUUUACAGUUGGAUUCUCCCUCUUGGAUCUGGCUCUGCCUUAGUCCGACCUAGAGGGAUCAGCUUCGCCCACGCCCACUCUCACCCGGAACCUUUCAUCUCUUAUUGAAGCCUUUUAGGCCCAUUGGGAUGUUCAUUAGAACUCUGAAAACUACAGUUCUCCCCUUUAUGAGGACUGCACCACAGCUCGCCCUCUCCUGGGUUCCGCCUGGUUGCAGAGUGAGCCCAUGGGACAGCCCUCUGAAAUUAUACUGCUUACAACCAUGCUGAGUCUGCAAGGACUUCGUCCAAGCCUUUCCGUCCAGGACCUCAAACAGAUCCAAUCACAAGAAGAGAGAUUUCAGGAAAGAGAAAAUUAUUCCUAUCAUCGGGGUUUUUGAAGAACAUGAAAUGACUGGGAAAAUAAUCAUGUUAAGUGGAAAAAAAAAAGAAAUCUAUCUGUUGUAAUUUUCAAAUAAUUUUUAAAUAAAUUUGAAAAAUUAAGAGAACUAUAUAUAUAAUACAUUCCUAAUCUUGUGAAAAAUAUAUAUGCAUUAAUAUUAUUGAAAGAAAUAUAUCAAAAGGUGAACAGCAAUUAUCACCAAUCUAGAUUAUGAGAUUAGGAGUGAUUUUUUUUCUUUGUCCUAUACUAUUUAAUAUUUUCUACCAUUAAAAUAUUCUGAUUUUCUAAUUAGAAUAGUACGUUAGACAAAGAAGGACAAAUAUCACAUGAACUCUCACUCUCUUAUGGAACAGAUCUUGUGGAAUCUAAAAAAGUUGAACUCAUAGAAAAAGAGGAAAAUGAUGGUUACCAGUUAGAAAAAAGGAAUAAGUUCAAGAGAUCUAUUGUACACCAUGGUCAAUAUAGUUAACAAUAUAUUUUAUACUUUAAAAUUGCUAAGGUAGUAGAUUUUAAGUGUUCUCACCACACAAAAAAAUAAGUAUGUGAAAAGCAUAUGGUAAUUAGCUUGAUUUAACCACGCCACAGUGCAUACAUAUGUCAAAACAUCAUGUUGUAUACUAUAAAUAUAUACACUUUUUGUCAAUUUUAAACAGGUUAUAAAAAAACAUGUUAUUGUUGAUAAUUAUGAAAAAUUUUAAUGAUGUGGAAAUGUGUACAGUAUAAUGAUAAAUGAAAGAGUAGUAAAAAUCCUUAUAAAAUAUAA
rnacentral:lncRNA from 1 species